CCUACGGGAGGCAGCAGUGAGGAAUAUUGGUCAAUGGGCGCGAGCCUGAACCAGCCAAGUCGCGUGAGGGAAGACUGUCCUAUGGAUUGUAAACUUCUUUUGUAGGGGAGCAAAAGACACCACGCGUACUGUUUCGCGAGUACCUGAUGAAAAAGCAUCGGCUAACUCCGUGCCAGCAGCCGCGGUAAUACGGAGGAUGCGAGCGUUAUCCGGAUUUAUUGGGGUUAAAGGGAUGGGAGGCGGGAGGUUAAGUCAGUCGUUAAAGUGUGAGGCUUAAACGUUACCUUGCCGUUGAUACUGGUAUUCUUGAGUAAAGUAGAGGUAUGCGGAAUGCGUGGUGUAGCGGUGAAAUGCUUAGAUAUCACGAAGAACUCCGAUUGCGAAGGCAGCAUACCGG
rnacentral:rRNA from 1 species